rnacentral:rRNA from 1 species
UUAAAUUGAAGAGUUUGAUCAUGGCUCAGAUUGAACGCUGGCGGCAGGCCUAACACAUGCAAGUCGAACGGUAACAGGAAGCAGCUUGCUGCUUUGCUGACGAGUGGCGGACGGGUGAGUAAUGUCUGGGAAACUGCCUGAUGGAGGGGGAUAACUACUGGAAACGGUGGCUAAUACCGCAUAACGUCGCAAGACCAAAGAGGGGGACCUUCGGGCCUCUUGCCAUCAGAUGUGCCCAGAUGGGAUUAGCUUGUUGGUGAGGUAACGGCUCACCAAGGCGACGAUCCCUAGCUGGUCUGAGAGGAUGACCAGCCACACUGGAACUGAGACACGGUCCAGACUCCUACGGGAGGCAGCAGUGGGGAAUAUUGCACAAUGGGCGCAAGCCUGAUGCAGCCAUGCCGCGUGUAUGAAGAAGGCCUUCGGGUUGUAAAGUACUUUCAGCGGGGAGGAAGGUGUUGUGGUUAAUAACCGCAGCAAUUGACGUUACCCGCAGAAGAAGCACCGGCUAACUCCGUGCCAGCAGCCGCGGUAAUACGGAGGGUGCAAGCGUUAAUCGGAAUUACUGGGCGUAAAGCGCACGCAGGCGGUCUGUCAAGUCGGAUGUGAAAUCCCCGGGCUCAACCUGGGAACUGCAUUCGAAACUGGCAGGCUUGAGUCUUGUAGAGGGGGGUAGAAUUCCAGGUGUAGCGGUGAAAUGCGUAGAGAUCUGGAGGAAUACCGGUGGCGAAGGCGGCCCCCUGGACAAAGACUGACGCUCAGGUGCGAAAGCGUGGGGAGCAAACAGGAUUAGAUACCCUGGUAGUCCACGCCGUAAACGAUGUCUACUUGGAGGUUGUGCCCUUGAGGCGUGGCUUCCGGAGCUAACGCGUUAAGUAGACCGCCUGGGGAGUACGGCCGCAAGGUUAAAACUCAAAUGAAUUGACGGGGGCCCGCACAAGCGGUGGAGCAUGUGGUUUAAUUCGAUGCAACGCGAAGAACCUUACCUGGUCUUGACAUCCACAGAACUUUCCAGAGAUGGAUUGGUGCCUUCGGGAACUGUGAGACAGGUGCUGCAUGGCUGUCGUCAGCUCGUGUUGUGAAAUGUUGGGUUAAGUCCCGCAACGAGCGCAACCCUUAUCCUUUGUUGCCAGCGGUCCGGCCGGGAACUCAAAGGAGACUGCCAGUGAUAAACUGGAGGAAGGUGGGGAUGACGUCAAGUCAUCAUGGCCCUUACGACCAGGGCUACACACGUGCUACAAUGGCGCAUACAAAGAGAAGCGACCUCGCGAGAGUAAGCGGACCUCAUAAAGUGCGUCGUAGUCCGGAUUGGAGUCUGCAACUCGACUCCAUGAAGUCGGAAUCGCUAGUAAUCGUGGAUCAGAAUGCCACGGUGAAUACGUUCCCGGGCCUUGUACACACCGCCCGUCACACCAUGGGAGUGGGUUGCAAAAGAAGUAGGUAGCUUAACCUUCGGGGGGGCGCUUACCACUUUGUGAUUCAUGACUGGGGUGAAGUCGUAACAAGGUAACCGUAGGGGAACCUGCGGUUGGAUCACCUCCUUACCUUAAAGAAGC